rnacentral:rRNA from 1 species
GAGUUUGAUCCUGGCUCAGAUUGAACGCUGGCGGCGUGCUUAACACAUGCAAGUCGAGCGGUAACAGGCGUAGCAAUACGUGCUGACGAGCGGCGAACGGGUGAGUAAUGCUUCGGAAUCUUCCUCGUAGUGGGGAAUAACCUGGGGAAACUCAGGCUAAUACCGCAUGUGGCCCACGGGCUAAAGCUCCGGCGCUUUGGGAACGGCCUGCGUAUGAUUAGAUAGUUGGUGAGGUAAUGGCUCACCAAGUCGACGAUCAUUAGCUGGUCUGAGAGGAUGACCAGCCAGACUGGGACUGAGAACGGCCCAGACUCCUACGGGAGGCAGCAGUAGGGAAUUUUCCACAAUGGGCGAAAGCCUGAUGGAGCAACGCCGCGUGCAGGAUGAAUGCCUUCGGGUUGUAAACUGCUUUUAUCUGUGACGAAUAUGACGGUAGCAGAUGAAUAAGGAUCGGCUAACUCCGUGCCAGCAGCCGCAGU